GUAUUGUUGGAGUCAGUGGGAUGUUGAUAUCAGGUAGUGUAGGAGACAGUGGGAUGUUGAUGUUGAUAUCAGGUAGUGUAGGAGUCAGUGGGAUACCAUGUUGAUAUCAGGUAGUGUAGGAGUCAGUGGGAUGUUGAUAUCAGGUAGUGUAGGAGUCAGUGGGAUGUUGAUAUCAGGUGAUAUAGGAGUCAGUGGGAUGUUGAUAUCAGGUAGUGUAGGAGUCAGUGGGAUGUUGAUAUCAGGUAGUGUAGGAGGCAGUGAGAUGUUGAUGUCAGGUAGUGUAGAAGUCAGUGAGAUGUUGAUAUCAGGUAGUGUAGGAGUCUGUGGGAUGUUGAUGUUGAUAUCAGGCAGUGUAGGAGUCAGUGUGAUGUCGAUGUUGAUAUCAGGUAGUGUAGGAGUCAGUGGGAUAUCAUGUUGAUAUCAGGUAGUGUUGGAGUCAGUGAGAUGUUGAUAUCAGGUAGUGUAGGAGUCAGUGGGAUACCAUGUUGAUAUCAGGUAGUGUAGGAGUCAGUGGGAUGUUGAUAUCAGGUAGUGUAGGAGUCAGUGGGAUGUUGAUAUCAGGUGAUAUAGGAGUCAGUGGGAUGUUGAUAUCAGGUAGUGUAGGAGUCAGUGGGAUGUUGAUAUCAGGUAGUGUAGGAGGCAGUGAGAUGUUGAUGUCAGGUAGUGUAGGAGUCAGUGAGAUGUUGAUAUCAGGUAGUGUAGGAGUCAGUGGGAUGUUGAUGUUGAUAUCAGGUAGUGCAGGAGUCAGUGGGAUGUUGAUGUUGAUAU
rnacentral:lncRNA from 1 species